CCUACGGGUGGCAGCAGUGAGGAAUAUUGGUCAAUGGACGAGAGUCUGAACCAGCCAAGUAGCGUGAAGGAUGACUGCCCUAUGGGUUGUAAACUUCUUUUAUAAAGGAAUAAAACGAGGCACGCGUGCCUUUUUGCAUGUACUUUAUGAAUAAGGAUCGGCUAAACCCGUGCCAGCAGCCGCGGUAAUAAGGAGGAUCCGAGCGUUAUCCGGAUUUAUUGGGUUUAAAGGGAGCGUAGAGGGGUUGUUAAGUCAGUUGGGAAAGUUUGCGGCUCAAACGUAAGAUUGCAAUUGAUACUGGCAGUCUUGAGUACAGUUGAGGUAUGCGGAAUGCGUGGUGUAGCGGUGAAAUGCUUAGAUAUCACGAAGAACCCCGAUUGCGAAGGCAGCUUACUAGACUGUGACUGACAUUGAUGCUCGAAAGUGUGGGUAUCAAACAGGAUUAGAUACCCCGGUAGUC
rnacentral:rRNA from 1 species